rnacentral:rRNA from 1 species
UAGGGAAUCUUCCACAAUGGACGAAAGUCUGAUGGAGCAACGCCGCGUGAGUGAAGAAGGUUUUCGGAUCGUAAAGCUCUGUUGUUGGUGAAGAAGGAUAGAGGCAGUAACUGGUCUUUAUUUGACGGUAAUCAACCAGAAAGUCACGGCUAACUACGUGCCAGCAGCCGCGGUAAUACGUAGGUGGCAAGCGUUGUCCGGAUUUAUUGGGCGUAAAGCGAGCGCAGGCGGAAUGAUAAGUCUGAUGUGAAAGCCCACGGCUCAACCGUGGAACUGCAUCGGAAACUGUCAUUCUUGAGUGCAGAAGAGGAGAGUGGAACUCCAUGUGUAGCGGUGGAAUGCGUAGAUAUAUGGAAGAACACCAGUGGCGAAGGCGGCUCUCUGGUCUGCAACUGACGCUGAGGCUCGAAAAGCAUGGGUAGCUAACAGGAUUAGAUACCCUGGUAGUCCAUGCCGUAAAACGAUGAGCGCUAGGUGUUGGGGACUUUCCGGUCCUCAGUGCCGCAGCAAAACGCAUUAAGCGCUCCGCCUGGGGAGUACGACCGC